rnacentral:snoRNA from 1 species
AUCCAAAAUAUCAAGAAAUAAGCCUUUUAAUUUAUUCAGAAUAUUUUUAUUAAAAUGUUCACCAUAGUUUUAAUUACCGUGAUUGCGAUUACAAUUAUUAAUUCAUUACCCCUAGAGUAAAUUAAAAACUACAUUUUGGAAGAAAAACGUCGCCCUAUUUCCACCCUAAUUUACAUUGAAAUGAUAUCUAUUCUGUAGCUUUCAUCUCAACUUUUUUAAUUUGUUUGUAAAAUUGGGACUAAUAUUUAGGGAUACAAAU